GUAUUAAAUCACCACUAGCAGUAACAGAACUGACUCUUGUCUGCACAUUUCAGACACUGGUGAGGCAUUCUUUGAUGUCAGCUUUACAGACUCCUGUUCUCGGCAUUGCAUGGGGGCUCUUUCCGCCUACGGCCACAAUUGGAGACAAAUGUCCAUUUCCUAUUCAGUGAUCCUGAGACGAUGCAUCAUGGCAGAAUUUUUGUAGAAUGAUAUCAAUACACUUCUUUGAACUCUGGGUCAAUAAAGCUGGCUGCAGAUGUAACCACUGGCUGAACAUAGUCUGAGCUCAUCAGCAACCUCUCUGCUGUCAACAAAAACCUGUGAGCUAAUAAACCAGGGUCCUGUCUUCAAAGAUCAAGCUGCCCAGCAUCCAGCAUGCCCUUCAGAAUCAACCAAUGGUACUGCCUCAUCCCUUACCAAAGAUACCGGUGAAUAGCAACUCAAUUUCAUAAUAUAAACUGGAGCCACAAAAGAAAAUUAAGUGUUUUCAGUGAAGUGUCUUUAAAGAAUUUGAAGAGGUAUAAGAAAUUACCAACCUGAGAAAAGCCGUCUGUUUUACUAUGUAUAUAGUUU